UCCUCAUUCCAGUGAAAAAUGCCCUAGAACAGUAAAAAUGGAGCAGGUAUCAGGCACAACUAAUAGCCCAAGACACCAAGCUUUGCCACACCCACACGGGCCAUCAGCAGUGAUAAACAUUAAGCAAUAAGCGAACACACCUAGCCUACUUUUAAAGCUUGACUUAGUUAUGAUUUAAUAGGGCCGGUAAACCUCGUGCCAGCCACCGCGGUUAUACGAGGGGCCCAAAGAAGCAGACACUCGGCGUAAAUAGUGGUUAGAAUCACGCCAAACACUAAAAAUUAAACCAUAUCCUAGACGUAAAACAAAGGAUAGAUGAAACCAAACAUUUUUAAAAACAGGCAAUUUGACCCACGAAAACUAAGAAACAAACUAGGAUUAGAUACCCUACUAUGCUUAGUCGUUAAUAAGAUAUUACUCUACCAAAAUAUCCGCCAGAAAACUACGAGCGAAAAGCUUAAAACUCAAAGGACUUGGCGGUGCUCCAUACCGACUUAGAGGAGCCUGUCCUAUAAUCGAUACUCCACGAUAAACCUUACCAGUCUUUGCCCAAUCAGCCUAUAUACCGCCGUCACCAACCUACCUCAUGAGAGAAAAAUAGUAGGUGUAAAAGCCCAACAGCUAAAACGUCAGGUCAAGGUGUAGCUAAUAGACUGGAAGAGAUGGGCUACAUUUUUUAAUAUAAAAUAUAACGGCACGGUACAAUGAAAUUUCUACCCAAAGGAGGAUUUAAUAGUAAAAUUAACAAGAAAGUUAAUUUUAAACACG
rnacentral:rRNA from 1 species